ACCUGGCGCCGCGGGCAGCCGGAGCGCACCCGGCCGGAAGCCGCUGUCGGGGAGCCGGCGGUGGGGCUGGACGCAGGUACAACUGACAUGGGUGAACCCCAGGGGUCCAUGCGGAUUCUAGUGACAGGGGGCUCUGGGCUGGUAGGCAAAGCCAUCCAGAAGGUGAUAGCAGAUGGAGCUGGACUUCCUGGAGAGGACUGGGUGUUUGUCUCCUCUAAAGACGCCGAUCUCACGGAUACAGCACAGACCCGCGCCCUGUUUGAGAAGGUCCAACCCACACACGUCAUCCAUCUUGCUGCAAUGGUGGGGGGCCUGUUCCGGAAUAUCAAAUACAAUUUGGACUUCUGGGUAAGUGAGGGUGGCCCCAGCAAGCACUGGAAACCAGGAUCCCAGGUUCUGGGAACUUCCUGGCGGGCUUCCCACUCUCACAGGCCCACAUUCCCACCCCAGGAAGUCCCUGAGGAUCAGGGCUUGGCACAGCCUGGUGGGGGCAGCCCCUGAGGGAUCCCCAGUCAGUCACACUUGGUGCUGUGGACAAAGGGCCAUGCAGGGGGGCCUGGAGGCACUUG
rnacentral:sRNA from 1 species